rnacentral:rRNA from 1 species
UACAGAGGGUGCGAGCGUUAAUCGGAAUUACUGGGCGUAAAGCGUGCGCAGGCGGUUCUCCAAGUCCGUUGUGAAAGCCCCGGGCUCAACCUGGGAAUGGCAUUUGGGACUGCAAGGCUGGAGUGUGGCAGAGGAGACUGGAAUUCCUGGUGUAGCAGUGAAAUGCGUAGAUAUCAGGAGGAAUACCGAUGGCGAAGGCAGGUCUCUGGGCUGACACUGACGCUCAUGCACGAAAGCGUGGGGAGCAAACAGG